UGGGGAAUUUUGGACAAUGGGGGAAACCCUGAUCCAGCCAUGCCGCGUGAGUGAAGAAGGCCUUCGGGUUGUAAAGCUCUUUCGGCCGGGACGAAAUCGCUCUGGGUAAUAUCCAAGGUGGAUGACGGUACCGGAAGAAGAAGCACCGGCUAACUACGUGCCAGCAGCCGCGGUAAUACGUAGGGUGCGAGCGUUAAUCGGAAUUACUGGGCGUAAAGCGUGCGCAGGCGGUUUCGUAAGCCAGACGUGAAAUCCCCGGGCUUAACCUGGGAACUGCGUUUGGGACUGCGAGGCUCGAGUACGGCAGAGGGAGGUGGAAUUCCACGUGUAGCAGUGAAAUGCGUAGAUAUGUGGAGGAACACCGAUGGCGAAGGCAGCCUCCUGGGCUAGUACUGACGCUCAUGCACGAAAGCGUGGGGAGCAAACAGG
rnacentral:rRNA from 1 species